rnacentral:rRNA from 1 species
GCACGGGUGCGUAACGCGUGGGAAUCUGCCCUCAGGUUCGGAAUAACAGCGAGAAAUUGCUGCUAAUACCGGAUGAUAUCGCGAGAUCAAAGAUUUAUCGCCUGAGGAUGAGCCCGCGUAGGAUUAGCUAGUUGGUGUGGUAAAGGCGCACCAAGGCGACGAUCCUUAGCUGGUCUGAGAGGAUGAUCAGCCACACUGGGACUGAGACACGGCCCAGACUCCUACGGGAGGCAGCAGUGGGGAAUAUUGGACAAUGGGCGGAAGCCUGAUCCAGCAAUGCCGCGUGAGUGAUGAAGGCCUUAGGGUUGUAAAGCUCUUUUACCCGGGAUGAUAAUGACAGUACCGGGAGAAUAAGCUCCGGCUAACUCCGUGCCAGCAGCCGCGGUAAUACGGAGGGAGCUAGCGUUAUUCGGAAUUACUGGGCGUAAAGCGCACGUAGGCGGCUUUGUAAGUUAGAGGUGAAAGCCUGGAGCUCAACUCCAGAAUUGCCUUUAAGACUG